CAUAUCUUAAUCUUUUGGUUUACAAUCAGAUAACCAAUUUCCUCUCAUGUUUCUCUAAUGAGUCAAUAUGCACUCACAUGAAUCAUGGAUUUAUACUAUCCAGAUUGAUAGCACAAGGUCUAGCAGAAAGUAGUAUUACUUGUCUUCUGUUCAUCUCUAGCCAUGACUGAUUGUCACAAUUUGAAGAGGAAAUGCCCUAAAAGGACGUAAUAGCCCUGAAAUCAUAAUAUAGUGCCAUUAGAUAAAAACAUACCAAUGUUAUGAAUGCCAAUAGUCCCUUGAUUGCAACAGGUCAGACUUCUCUUUCAAGCUUUUCACACAAAGAACUUUUUAAAACCAAUAAACCAAAUGAAUUAAUGGAUGUCUCAAAAACACGCACCAAUUCUAAUUAAGAACACAUUGAUCAAAUUAAAACUAAGAUUGAGAAAGAAAAUUCAAACCUUAUCAUCUUCAUUUCUGAGGUAUGGCUAGCAACACUGAAUGACAUGAUUAUUAUUGAGAUACUUGUUGCCUCAUCUUAAAGGUCUCUAUAAGCUCUUGAAGGUCUCUAUAAGCUUCUGUACUACCAAGUUCUAUUAAAACCAAACUUGUAGAUGUGUUUAAGGUUAAAACAGAACAUUAAAAACACGAGAUUCUAAUGUACCCAUGAGCAAUGAGUUUUCAACAAAAAUUGAAAUUAACUACUCCUUUGCUCCUUCAAUUUUAAAAUAAUAAUAAUAACUAGUAAGUGAACCCGUGGUGAACCACGGGUCGGGUUUUUUUGGGGGGUUUUUUCUAUUUUGAAGUGGGUUUUGUUCUUAGGCCCAUACAGUUAGUGUUGAUGCUGGUAAAUGUUCUAUAAUUUUUUUUAGGUUCUCUUUGUUGAGUGUGAAUCGUUAUAACUAUCAUACUCAUAGUUUUCUUAAAAACUAACUAUUGAAAUUAUAUACUUUGUGUAUGUUUUUUUAAUUUAAAAAACUAUUAGUGAUUAGUUUGCACAUAAAUUUCAGAUAUAAUAAUUAUAAAACUAUUUCACUUUGUUAUAUAUAACUCCCUUACAAGGUAAAAUAUUGUUGGAGUACUGGUAAAAGAAACAAUGUGAUGUUUCACAAAAGAUAAUUCCUUGGUAGGCCUAAACUGUGAUGGAUCUGCACAUGAGCAUAAAUGGUUAAAUUAGUCAUUUACAAUUGUUAUUCAAAAAUAAACUAAAUUCAUAGCAAAUACAUGAUGCUGAUAAUAGUACCUGCGCCAUGGGGUACAAGUUCCUCAAAAAUCUCUUUUUCCCAUAACUUCCACUUACGUGUCUGCAUUCAGCAAAAUUGGCGCUUUUAUUUAAGUGAUUCCUAAUUUUUUGAAAUAAGUAGGACUUUUUUAAUCAUCAUAUAUAUUAGAAUUCCACGGGCAUAUUAUGUGUGAGGUUGAAGAUGCAUUUUAAGAUUUUUGUAAAUAGGUCAAUGGCAUCCAUUGUAACACUUUAAUAAAAAAAACAAUAUUAUAAUAUGUAAAAAUAAAUUAAGAUUCUAACGUUUGCUCUUCGAAAAUUCAUUUUGAGGGCGUUAUAAAUUACAUGAAACACGACCAAGAAGAGAAGAAUAUAAAGAUAUGCAAUUGAUGCAGUUGCUCAACUGUUAUGAUCUCCUAAUAUCCCUCGUCACAAUAAUGCAAUAUAUAUAUAUAUAUAUNUAUAUAUAUAUAUAUAUCGUUAUAUUUGUUAGAAUAUGAAAUAUGCAAGCUAAAGUCUGUUCAUUAUGAUGAUCUCCAACUCGAGGAAGCCCCAAAUGACGUUACACUUUCAAAGUUACACCAAUUUAUAACAUUUUAAGAAUGUUUUGUAAAUAUUUAGUUCCCAAGCCUCUAUUUCAGCAUUUAUCUGUCGCCUUCUCAAUAAAUAACAAUUUCUCUUAUCAAUUUAAGAUCUAACCCUGUUUUUAACAUUACUCCUAUAAAAAUUCUUCAUUAGCAAUGAAGUAAUCCAAGGUGGGUCUUGUAUAUCAUAUGCAUUAGUAACUUUAAACAUUCACGUUCUGUAGCCACCCUAUUAAACUCAAAGGUUACAUCAACAUCAGAUUAUUUUUGUAUUCUUGAAGUCUUCUUGAUAGUAAUACAUGCAAAGAUGUAGCUAAACGAAGAAGUUGAUUAUUUUAUCAUUUAAUAAUAACGAAGUAUACAAAUAGUUGUUUUACAAAACACAUUAUCAUUCCAUUUAAUUAAAAGGUGUAAGUAGAAAGGCAAGUUACCAGUGUUGAACAUAAGCUACACAUGCAUACCGAAACAUUACCAAUUAUUUCUUGCAUUUGUUUAUUAACUUGUUUAACAACAUAAAAUAAAAAAAAUGGUAAAACUGAAAAGUAUGUUGUUAUUUGGUGCAGUUCAACAACACUUACAAUACACUGCUACCAUGCAUACUUUAUACUUUGCCUUAGAUGCCUGCAAUCAUCCUACAGUUUGAAAACCAAAAAUAUGAACAAUUUAAAAGUUACCAUUAAUUCUAUAAACUAUAAUAAUUUAUAACGUAAAAACAAAAGGAAUUAAGAGAAACUAAUGGAAACAUGACUAAACCAUUCAACCUCUCCUAUGGCAUGGAUGAAAAUAUAAAAAGGAAUAUAACACCUGUGACAAAGGGUAGAUUAGAACUGACAUGAACCAAUUGAGUAAUCCUUAAUUGCUAUUUACAAACAUUUAAGUCAUGGGACUUGUUGCAAUGAUCUAACUUACAGCAACAAACAAAAGAAACAUGAAGAUAUCCAUCAAAAACUCAAUCAAGUUAAAAGAUUCACAUUUCACGCACCUGAAUUCAUACAAAACAAAAAAAGAACGGUUGUGUAGCGCAUAUUAGACUCAUUGGAGAGAAUCAAGAUCUUUUCCGAGAACACUGUAAGAUAAAAUAGAAAAAAUAGGAAAGAUGUUAAGAUAUUUGAAGUGAUGACUGAAUUUCAUGGAAGACACUAUGAUUUGAAAGAAAGUUACGUUGGAGUAAGCAACCAGUUUUGAAAUCAAGUAACUGAAGUUCAUUGAGACAUAUGAACAAAAAGUUGGUGUGCAAAUCAAUUUUUUUUAAUUCCACCACCAACGAUACCACUAUUUAUGAUAUCCUUCUAUACCUCGAACGUAAAGGGCAAAAACAAUGGCGUCACUCAAAGCUAAGUGACAUGGCGUCAUUAAAACUCUAUGAACGUGUUGUAGUCACAAUGAGAAUAAUAAAUUUUGCUCUAGGAGUGGAGGUUCAUAAGGGUAUUUUUGUUAAUUUUGUAUAUAGUAUUCCUCUUUAUUGACUGGGUUACUUGAAAUGACUCCUUAUAUAUGUCAGAACCAGAAUAUGAAAUGUACUUUAGUUGUCUAAAAUACGCUAGAAUAAUGAAAAAGGGAGAAUGUUGUUGUUCAAUACCAUUACAAUUUUAUAAUCUAACAUUUUUAAUGCUUAUAAUUUUGCCUAGAAAAAAGUUGCAACUGAUAUUCGCCAUAACAAAAUGAAAAUUGUUGCAAAUUUCAUAGGCUGGAGGGAGUUACAGAAAAACUGGAUUUAUCAUACUCUCACCAUCUACUAAAAAAAACAUAUUAAAUUUAAAAUCAGAUGCCAUAUGAUGAAUAUCCUUAGAAAUACUAAUUUUAAUUAUUAUGUAUAGAAUAUAAGGAACUGUACUUACUGAUUUAGGGACAACUCAAUGAAGUAUAAGCUUUCUUCAUGCUAUGGAGCCUAUGGUUUUUUGAUUAAACAGUUUGAAAUGUCCAUUUAAACCUAUGAAUUGAUCAUGAUUUUGAUACCUACAAUCAUCAAGAAUUAUGUUUGGAUAGUGUAAUGAUGAGUCCUAAUGAGGGGCAGAGGUUAGUGAUGGGAUUUGCAAAGUUGGUGGAGUUGAUAAAGGUCUAUGUAAAUGUCAUUUUAGGUUGAACUAAAAUGAAAGUGAUAUGAGAGUGCCAAUAAGUUCCUUCAAGUCAUAAUAAAGUUUCCUCUAUAACAAAGAAAUGACGUAAUUAAGUUUUAACUUAUAAAAAUGCUCAUUUGAUAACAGGAAAUACCAACAAUGGGUCGGACACCUCUUUCAAGCAUUUCAUCAAACAGUUUAUAUGCAUCAUGAAACUAUGAUUGAAGAUAAAACUUUCAUAUGGUUUCAUCAUCCAAAGAACUUUUCAAAAUCAUUAAACCAAAUGAAUUUAUUAAAGUCUUAAAAGUGAAUGCAACACACUCCAAAUAAAAACACUUAUUUUGAUUUAAACAUCAAAGUUGACAAGGAGAUCUAUCCAAACAAAAAGAGAUGCAGCAAUUGUUGGGUUAUUAAAAAAUACCAUGGGAAAUAGACAUAAAGAGAAAAUUUGACGAACUGGGUAGUAAGUAGAAAGAAUUGAUCAAGUUUCUACCUUUUUGUUUUUCUUUUUAUCUCUGCAUAUACAAAAUAACAUGCCUAAAACAAGAAAUUAUGCAAAAUGGAACAUGAAAUCCACUUUGAGAGGAGUGGUGGUGUAUACAUGUCUCAAUCGUGACACCGUGGUGCAAUAAUGGUGUAUUGAGAAAGCCAAGAUCGGUUUUUCUUUUAUGAAAAUAUAUAAAGGGGAAGUGGCAGUGGAACAAAGAAGCAAAAGAUGGAUCACAUAUAUUAACAAUAGAUAAAAGUAAGUACCUUCGCAAUCCCUGUGAAUCCCAAAUCAGACCCAUCUGUUUUCCCCUGAUUAGAGUUAAUGCCUUCUUAUCACUGUGAUAGGGUUCGAUUAGAUGAAGAAAUAGAGCCUCAAAAGGGGAAUAAGAAAACAAACAAGGGGAAAACUAAAAUAGAAAGGCAAGGAAGAGUUUAUUUUUUUUUUUUGAAUAAAAUCGGUUUUGUUCUUCACAAGGAUGAAAGAAGUGAAAUUGAAGAAGAAUGGGUGGAUAAUUGCAGAGGGUAUUUGUGUUUGUUGUAAAAUGGUUACAUCGGCAAGCAAACUUAACCCAAUUUGAAGAAAAAUGGCGUACCCCAAACCUGAAUAAGAAGGCGGAUACGGGCAGAACAACAUGAAGUGAUGGACCGGUGGGGAUCGACAAUGUGGAAUGUAUUUACUACAUUGCGUUGUUCGAACCAUAAAUAGUGUGGCGUUAUUUAGAGAUAGGAAGGAUGAAACGAUCGGGAACGGUUGAGUCGGUGUUUAGGGAACAUGCGACGUUUUGAAGUGGGCUACGUGUAAGUGUUGGAACC
rnacentral:lncRNA from 1 species